rnacentral:rRNA from 1 species
UACGGGGGGGGCAAGCGUUGUUCGGAAUUACUGGGCGUAAAGGGCUUGUAGGCGGCCAACUAAGUCAGACGUGAAAUCCCUCGGCUUAACCGGGGAACUGCGUCUGAUACUGGAUGGCUUGAGUGUGGGAGAGGGAUGCGGAAUUCCAGGUGUAGCGGUGAAAUGCGUAGAUAUCUGGAGGAACACCGGUGGCGAAGGCGGCAUCCUGGACCAUUACUGACACUGAUAAGCGAAAGCCAGGGGAGCAAACGGG